rnacentral:rRNA from 1 species
UACGAAGGGGGCUAGCGUUGUUCGGAAUUACUGGGCGUAAAGCGCGCGUAGGCGGUGAUCUUUGUCAGAGGUGAAAGCCCGGGGCUCAACUCCGGAAUUGCCUUUGAAACGGGAUCGCUAGAGUCCGAGAGAGGAUGGCGGAAUUCCUAGUGUAGAGGUGAAAUUCGUAGAUAUCAGGAGGAACACCGAUGGCGAAGGCAGCCCCCUGGGCUAGCACUGACGCUCAGGCACGAAAGCGUGGGGAGCAAACAGG